rnacentral:rRNA from 1 species
UACGUAGGGCGCAAGCGUUGUCCGGAAUUAUUGGGCGUAAAGAGCUCGUAGGUGGCUUGUCACGUCGGGUGUGAAAGCUUGGGGCUUAACUCCAGGUCUGCAUUCGAUACGGGCUGGCUAGAGGUAGGUAGGGGAGAACGGAAUUCCUGGUGUAGCGGUGAAAUGCGCAGAUAUCAGGAGGAACACCGGUGGCGAAGGCGGUCUCUGGGCCUUACCUGACACUGAUGCGCGACAGCAUGGGGAGCAAACAGG